rnacentral:rRNA from 1 species
AACGAACGCUGGCGGCAGGCCUAACACAUGCAAGUCGAACGCUGUAGCAAUACAGAGUGGCAGACGGGUGAGUAACACGUGGGAAUCUUCCUAUCGGUACGGAAUAGCUCAGGGAAACUUGGGGUAAUACCGCAUACGCCCUUCGGGGGAAAGAUUUAUCGCCGAUAGAUGAGCCCGCGUCUGAUUAGCUAGUUGGUGAGGUAGUGGCUCACCAAGGCGACGAUCAGUAGCUGGUCUGAGAGGAUGACCAGCCACACUGGGACUGAGACACGGCCCAGACUCCUACGGGAGGCAGCAGUGGGGAAUAUUGGACAAUGGGCGCAAGCCUGAUCCAGCCAUGCCGCGUGAGUGACGAAGGUCUUCGGAUUGUAAAGCUCUUUUGGCGGGGACGAUAAUGACGGUACCCGCAGAAUAAGCCCCGGCUAACUUCGUGCCAGCCGCCGCGGUAACAC